GCUUGUCUCAAAGAUUAAGCCAUGCAUGUCUAAGUACAAGCCGCUAGUUCGGCGAAACCGCGAAUGGCUCAAUAAAUCAGUUAUGGUUCCUUAGAUCCACUCCAUCCUACUUGGAUAACUGAGGUAAUUCUUGAGCUAAUACAUGCGAAAAAUCUCGACUCACGGAGAGAUGCUUUUAUUAGAUCAAAACCAAACGGCUUCGGCCGUCUCAUUGGUGACUCUGAAUAACUUUGGGCUGAUCGUAUGGCCUUGUGCCGACGACGUUUCCUUCGAAGGUGUGCCCUAUCAACUGUCGACUGUGAUAUAGACGCUCACAGUGGUUUUGACGGGUAACGGGGAAUCAGGGUUCGAUUCCGGAGAGGGAGCCUUAAAAACGGCUACCACAUCCAAGGAAGGCAGCAGG
rnacentral:rRNA from 1 species